GUGGGGAAUCUUAGACAAUGGGCGCAAGCCUGAUCUAGCCAUGCCGCGUGAGCGAUGAAGGCCUUAGGGUUGUAAAGCUCUUUCAGCUGGGAAGAUAAUGACGGUACCAGCAGAAGAAGCCCCGGCUAACUCCUUGCCAGCAGCCGCGGUAAUACGGAGGGGGCUAGCGUUGUUCGGAAUUACUGGGCGUAAAGCGCACGUAGGCGGAUCAGAAAGUCAGAGGUGAAAUCCCAGGGCUCAACCUUGGAACUGCCUUUGAAACUCCUGAUCUUGAGGUCGAGAGAGGUGAGUGGAAUUCCGAGUGUAGAGGUGAAAUUCGUAGAUAUUCGGAGGAACACCAGUGGCGAAGGCGGCUCACUGGUCCGGUACUGACGCUGAGGUGCGAAAGCGUGGGGAGCAAACAGGAUUAGAAACCCGUGUAGUCC
rnacentral:rRNA from 1 species